rnacentral:sRNA from 1 species
UUUGGAUGUGGAAGCCGAGACCUAAAGUUGGGGGGUGAUCUCUGAGGUGAUGGAUCGGUACCUGCUGCUGGUGAUCUGGGGGGAAGGAAAAUUCCCGUCGGCGGCCAGUAGGGAGGCAGAACAUGGGCCAGAGGUGUCGUUGGGUGAGGGUACUGAGAAUCAGCCGGACUUCACAGCAGCAAAUGUUUAUCACCUCUUGAAAAGAAGCAUUAGUGCUUCAAUUAAUCCAGAAGAUAGUACUUUCCCUGCCUGUUCAGUGGGAGGUAUACCUGGUUCCAAGAAGUGGUUCUUUGCAGUGCAGGCAAUAUAUGGAUUUUAUCAGUUUUGUAGUUCUGAUUGGCAAGAGAUACAUUUUGAUACAGAAAAAGAUAAAAUUGAAGAUGUUCUUCAAACGAAUAUCGAAGAAUGUUUGGGUGCUGUUGAGUGUUUUGAAGAAGAAGACAGUAAUAGCAGGGAAUCAUUAUCCUUGGCUGAGUAUGCUUACAUGGUUUUUGUAUUAUCAUUAAAAUACUUAAUAUUAGACAGUUAUUUUAAUCCAUGAGAAUGAAGAUUAUAUAUUUUAGCAUCUUUACUGAAGAAACUCUAGUUAAUUGAAAUUUUUGACUCUCAAUUUGGGCCUUUUAUUUGAAUAAAAUUCUUUAAAAUGCAUGUUUCUUAAGCUUACAUAAUGUCAAGAAUCAUAAAAAGUGAUAUUUUAAUAAACAUGUUCCUUUCUUGAAGAUAAAUUCUGCCUAAUAUUUUAUUUUAUUUUUGAAACAGGGUCUUGCUGUGUCACCCAGGCUGCAGUGCAGUGGUGCAGUCACGGCUUGCUACAGCCUAGACCUGGGCUCAAGCGAUCCUCCAACCUCAGCUUCCAGAGUAGCUGGAACUACAGGUGUGCACCACCACACCCAGCUAAUUUUUGUAUUUUUUUUUGUAGAAAUAUCAUUUCGCCAUGUUGUUCAGGCUGACCUCGAAUUCCUGAGCUCAAGCAAUCUGCCUGCCUUGGCCUCCCAAACUGCUGGGAGUACAGCUGUGAGCCACCGUGCCUGGCCAAUAAUGUAUUUUAAAAGCUUGAAUAGAAAUGUUAUUUAAUGUUAAUAGCUAGCAUUCAUACCAAAGUAUCAUUUUCAUUUUGCUAUUUGAGGCUGAAAUAUGUGACUUCUUUAAUUUAUGUGUAUUUGCAGCAUUUCAGGUACCUUUUAAAAUCCAUAGAGUUUGUGAGGAUUAUAUGUACAUGAUUGAGUUCACUUUUAGGUUUUUUUCAAUUGUGGUACAAUAUGUAAGUUGAUCCAGGUGACGUAAGUUGUGAUAAUAAUUUUUCUCUUCAUGAAAUAUCCCACCUCUUAUAGUUAAUACCUUUUAUUUUAGUCUUUCAUAACAUUUCAUGACAAAACUGCUCUUAUUUUAGUAUUCACAUAUUAUAUCUGUAAGUAGCUGUAGACUUAAAAAAUUGCAUUUUCCUUUUUCCAGAUCAUAUUUGUUUGUACUGAUUAAUAAAAGGAGACCUUUCCAAACCAGAGAAAUAUCACUGAACCAGGGAUUAGUAGAGGUAGACUUUAUUUACACAAUCUUAGGCCAGUCACGUAACUUCUCUGGUCGUUUGUUUUCUCAUCCAUAAAGUAUUGAAGUACUUUUAGAUAAUUUCUUAGGUGCUUUCAUUUACCCUUAAAAACUCUUAUCAUCCCAUAUGUUUUCCUACCACUAUUAAAGACAAGUAUAGCCGGGCGCAGUGGCUCACGCCUGUAAUCCCAGCACUUUGGGAGGCCAAGGCGGGUGGGUCACAAGGUCAGGAGUUCAAGACCAGCCUGGCUAACAUGGUGAAACCCCUUUUCUACUGAAAAUAGAAAAAAUUAGCCGGGCGUGGUGGCAGGUGUCUGUAAUCUCAGCUACUUGGGAGCCUGAGGCUGGAGAAUCGCUUGAACCCGGGAGGCGGAGGUUGCAGUGAGCUGAGAUUCUGCCACUGUACUCCAGCCUGAGCGACAGAGCAACACUCCGUCUC